GAGAACCUUCAAAUGCUAGGGUUUCAUAAGAACCCUAGAAGCGAGAAUGGCCUGGAAAGUCUGAUCUGAGCCAAACGAGUUAGAGAUAAGCUCAUAGGACUAGGAUAUGCUGGAGACAAGCCGUAGAUGACUGUAAAACUUGGAUCAGCGGGGAUUUGAGCAAAGGCUUUUGAAGUUGGACCUUGAAUCUUCAAGUAACAGGUGCACAAGAGCACAUGGAGGAGAGUACAGGUACCCAGGGCAUGGGAUGCCAUGGAUUCCGAAGAAACAUGGGUGGAAAACGACGGAAUAUGGCUAGGGUUUCGG
rnacentral:lncRNA from 1 species